UACGUAGGGGGCGAGCGUUGUCCGGAUUUAUUGGGCGUAAAGAGCUCGUAGGCGGUUUGGCAAGUCGGGUGUGAAAACUCCGGGCUCAACUCGGAGACGCCACUCGAUACUGCUAUGACUCGAGUCCGGUAGGGGAGUGCGGAAUUCCUGGUGUAGCGGUGAAAUGCGCAGAUAUCAGGAGGAACACCGGUGGCGAAGGCGGCACUCUGGGCCGGUACUGACGCUGAGGAGCGAAAGCGUGGGGAGCGAACAGG
rnacentral:rRNA from 1 species